UACAGAGGGUGCAAGCGUUGUUCGGAAUUAUUGGGCGUAAAGCGCGUGUAGGCGGCUUUGCAAGUCGGGUGUGAAAGCCCUCAGCUCAACUGAGGAAGUGCGCCCGAAACUGCAGAGCUUGAGUGCCGGAGAGGGUGGCGGAAUUCCCCAAGUAGAGGUGAAAUUCGUAGAUAUGGGGAGGAACACCGGUGGCGAAGGCGGCCACCUGGACGGUACUGACGCUGAGACGCGAAAGCGUGGGGAGCGAACAGG
rnacentral:rRNA from 1 species